rnacentral:rRNA from 1 species
AUUGAACGCUGGCGGCAGGCUUAACACAUGCAAGUCGAGCGGGGUGAUGGUGCUUGCACUAUCACUUAGCGGCGGACGGGUUAGUAAUGCUUAGGAAUCUGCCUAUUAGUGGGGGACAACAUUUCGAAAUGGAUGCUAAUACCGCAUACGUCCUACGGGAGAAAGCAGGGGAUCACUUGUGACCUUGCGCUAAUAGAUGAGCCUAAGUCGGAUUAGCUAGUUGGUGGGGUAAAGGCCUGCCAAGGCGACGAUCUGUAGCGGGUCUGAGAGGAUGAUCCGCCACACUGGGACUGAGACACGGCCCAGACUCCUACGGGAGGCAGCAGUGGGGAAUAUUGGACAAUGGGGGGAACCCUGAUCCAGCCAUGCCGCGUGUGUGAAGAAGGCCUUAUGGUUGUAAAGCACUUUAAGCGAGGAGGAGGCUCAUUUGGUUAAUACCCAAGAUGAGUGGACGUUACUCGCAGAAUAAGCACCGGCUAACUCUGUGCCAGCCGCCGCCGUAA